rnacentral:rRNA from 1 species
GACGAGGGGUCCAAGCGUUGUUCGGAAUCAUUGGGCGUAAAGCGGGUGUAGGUGGCUCUAUAAGUCAGAAGUGAAAGCCCCGAGCUUAACUCGGGAAGUGCUUUUGAUACUGCAGAGCUUGAAUGUGGGAGAGGGUAGUGGAAUUCCAGGUGUAGUGGUGAAAUACGUAGAUAUCUGGAGGAACACCGGUGGCGAAGGCGGCUGACCUGGCCCAACAUUGACACUGAGACCCGAAAGCGUGGGAUCGAAACA